UACGUAGGGACCGAGCGUUGUCCGGAUUUAUUGGGCGUAAAGAGCGUGUAGGCGGCCAGGUAGGUCUGCUGUGAAAACUCGAGGCUUAACCUCGAGCUGUCGGCGGAAACCAUCCGGCUAGAGUCCGGAAGAGGAGAAUGGAAUUCCCGGUGUAGCGGUGAAAUGCGCAGAUAUCGGGAAGAACACCCGUGGCGAAGGCGGUUCUCUGGGACGGUACUGACGCUGAGACGCGAAAGCGUGGGGAGCGAACAGG
rnacentral:rRNA from 1 species